UUCUCGCGUCGAUGGGUGUUUCUUAAGCCCGCUCAGGGACGGGGCGGCUAGCAGUGGGAAUGUCCCGCUCAGGGACGGGAGCUUGGAUUUGGAUCCACAACAGGUCCAAGUCAUGUAAGUCUUCUAUCUUGUUUAAGUUUUGUAGAGAAUGAACCCACGAAGUAGUUUACAAACAAAGACAAUUUCUUUCUUCUUCAACUCUCCUUACAAACGAGGAGGAAAUGAAAAGGCGAGCACAGACAACUUCAUCGAAGCCCUGUGACGCUCCGCUACUCUCACAGACCCCGUCGAUGGAUCUGAAAGAGGGGGAACUCCGAGCCCUCGCUGGAGGGCGUGAGGACGUUUUCCAAAAGUUCUUCCCAGCACUAGAAUCCCGCCAUCGCGAGCUCCAACAGCUGAAGCUCCAACAGCGCUUGGCUUCUGAUGACUGCACUGCACGAGUCUUGCUUUGCGGACAGAUACGGGCCGAAAAAAGAAAACCAAAAAAAAAAAGAACGUUAUUUUUUCCAAUUUUUUUGCGUUUUUUCUACGGUUUUUCAGUUCUAACUUGUUUUCUUGUAGGCAUACUACAGUCUAGUCUAUGAUAGAAUGUAGUUUGUAGACAUACUACAUUCUAUCAUAGGCUAGAAUAUCGAGAUGGAUAGGAUGGACAUUGUUAGAGCAUAUCCAAAGGAAUAUAAAUGAGAUUCGCCCCUC